rnacentral:rRNA from 1 species
CCUCGGGGGGCUCCAGUGGGGAAUAUUGCACAAUGGACGAAAGUCUGAUGCAGCAACGCCGCGUGGAGGAUGACACAUUUCGGUGCGUAAACUCCUUUUAUAUAAGAAGAUAAUGACGGUAUUAUAUGAAUAAGCACCGGCUAACUCCGUGCCAGCAGCCGCGGUAAUACGGGGGGUGCAAGCGUUACUCGGAAUCACUGGGCGUAAAGCGCAUGUAGGCGGACUUGUAAGUUGGAAGUGAAAUCCUAUGGCUCAACCAUAGAACUGCUUCCAAAACUGCUUGUCUAGAAUAUGGGAGAGGUAGAUGGAAUUUCUGGUGUAGGGGUAAAAUCCGUAGAGAUCAGAAGGAAUACCGAUUGCGAAGGCGAUCUACUGGAACAUUAUUGACGCUCAGAUGCGAAAGCGUGGGGAGCAAACAGGAUUAGAUACCCCAGUAGUC